rnacentral:rRNA from 1 species
UUGAACGCUGGCGGCAUGCCUUACACAUGCAAGUCGAAUGGUAGAGGGGCAACCCUUGAGAGUGGCGAACGGGUGAGUAAUGCAUCGGAACGUGCCCAGUCGUGGGGGAUAACGCAGCGAAAGCUGUGCUAAUACCGCAUGUGAUCUGUGGAUGAAAGCAGGGGACCGCAAGGCCUUGUGCGAUUGGAGCGGCCGAUGUCAGAUUAGCUAGUUGGUAGGGUAAAAGCCUACCAAGGCGACGAUCUGUAGCUG